rnacentral:rRNA from 1 species
GACGAACGCUGGCGGCGUGCUUAACACAUGCGAGUCGAACGGAAAGGCCCUGCUUUUGUGGGGUGCUCGAGUGGCGAACGGGUGAGUACACGUGAGUAACCUGCCCUUGACUUUGGGAUAACUUCAGGAAACUGGGGCUAAUACCGGAUAGGAGCUCCUGCUGCAUGGUGGGGGUUGGAAAGUUUCGGCGGUUGGGGAUGGACUCGCGGCUUAUCAGCUUGUUGGUGGGGUAGUGGCUUACCAAGGCUUUGACGGGUAGCCGGCCUGAGAGGGUGACCGGCCACAUUGGGACUGAGAUACGGCCCAGACUCCUACGGGAGGCAGCAGUGGGGAAUAUUGCACAAUGGGCGGAAGCCUGAUGCAGCAACGCCGCGUGCGGGAUGACGGCCUUCGGGUUGUAAACCGCUUUCGCCUGUGACGAAGCGUGAGUGACGGUAAUGGGUAAAGAAGCACCGGCUAACUACGUG